AAAUUGAAGAGUUUGAUCAUGGCUCAGAUUGAACGCUGGCGGCAGGCCUAACACAUGCAAGUCGAACGGUAACAGGAAGCAGCUUGCUGCUUUGCUGACGAGUGGCGGACGGGUGAGUAAUGUCUGGGAAACUGCCUGAUGGAGGGGGAUAACUACUGGAAACGGUAGCUAAUACCGCAUAACGUCGCAAGACCAAAGAGGGGGACCUUCUGGCCUCUUGCCAUCGGAUGUGCCCAGAUGGGAUUAGCUAGUAGGUGGGGUAACGGCUCACCUAGGCGACGAUCCCUAGCUGGUCUGAGAGGAUGACCAGCCACACUGGAACUGAGACACGGUCCAGACUCCUACGGGAGGCAGCAGUGGGGAAUAUUGCACAAUGGGCGCAAGCCUGAUGCAGCCAUGCCGCGUGUAUGAAGAAGGCCUUCGGGUUGUAAAGUACUUUCAGCGGGGAGGAAGGGAGUAAAGUUAAUACCUUUGCUCAUUGACGUUACCCGCAGAAGAAGCACCGGCUAACUCCGUGCCAGCAGCCGCGGUAAUACGGAGGGUGCAAGCGUUAAUCGGAAUUACUGGGCGUAAAGCGCACGCAGGCGGUUUGUUAAGUCAGAUGUGAAAUCCCCGGGCUCAACCUGGGAACUGCAUCUGAUACUGGCAAGCUUGAGUCUCGUAGAGGGGGGUAGAAUUCCAGGUGUAGCGGUGAAAUGCGUAGAGAUCUGGAGGAAUACCGGUGGCGAAGGCGGCCCCCUGGACGAAGACUGACGCUCAGGUGCGAAAGCGUGGGGAGCAAACAGGAUUAGAUACCCUGGUAGUCCACGCCGUAAACGAUGUCGACUUGGAGGUUGUGCCCUUGAGGCGUGGCUUCCGGAGCUAACGCGUUAAGUCGACCGCCUGGGGAGUACGGCCGCAAGGUUAAAACUCAAAUGAAUUGACGGGGGCCCGCACAAGCGGUGGAGCAUGUGGUUUAAUUCGAUGCAACGCGAAGAACCUUACCUGGUCUUGACAUCCACGGAAGUUUUCAGAGAUGAGAAUGUGCCUUCGGGAACCGUGAGACAGGUGCUGCAUGGCUGUCGUCAGCUCGUGUUGUGAAAUGUUGGGUUAAGUCCCGCAACGAGCGCAACCCUUAUCCUUUGUUGCCAGCGGUCCGGCCGGGAACUCAAAGGAGACUGCCAGUGAUAAACUGGAGGAAGGUGGGGAUGACGUCAAGUCAUCAUGGCCCUUACGACCAGGGCUACACACGUGCUACAAUGGCGCAUACAAAGAGAAGCGACCUCGCGAGAGCAAGCGGACCUCAUAAAGUGCGUCGUAGUCCGGAUUGGAGUCUGCAACUCGACUCCAUGAAGUCGGAAUCGCUAGUAAUCGUGGAUCAGAAUGCCACGGUGAAUACGUUCCCGGGCCUUGUACACACCGCCCGUCACACCAUGGGAGUGGGUUGCAAAAGAAGUAGGUAGCUUAACCUUCGGGAGGGCGCUUACCACUUUGUGAUUCAUGACUGGGGUGAAGUCGUAACAAGGUAACCGUAGGGGAACCUGCGGUUGGAUCACCUCCUUA
rnacentral:rRNA from 1 species